UAAGGAAUAUUGCUCAAUGGGAGAAAUCCUGAAGCAGCAACGCCGCGUGGAGGAUGAAGGGUCUAUGACUUGUAAACUCCUGUAAAGAAGGAAAAAAUUCCCAUUAGAUGGGAGAUGAUGGUACUUCUGGAGUAAGCCCCGGCUAACUACGUGCCAGCAGCCGCGGUAAUACGUAGGGGGCAAGUGUUGUCCGGAUUUACUGGGUGUAAAGGGUGCUCAGGCGGAUUUGUAAGUCAGAGGUGAAAUCUUACAGCUUAACUGUGAAACUGCCUUUGAUACUGCAAGCCUAGAGUAUGGAAGAGAGUGGUGGAAUAUCUGGUGUAGCAGUGAAAUGCGUAGAUAUCAGAUAGAACACCAAUGGCGAAGGCAGUCACUUGGUCCAUUACUGACGCUAAAGCACGAAAGCGUGGGUAGCAAACA
rnacentral:rRNA from 1 species